GUUGGUGACUUGACGCGAUGGAACUACCCUUUUCCAUUCCGAACAAGGUCGUAAAACGUCGUAGUGCCGAUGGUACUCGCAAGGGGAGAGUAGGCAGUCGCCAACU
rnacentral:rRNA from 1 species